UACGAAGGGGGCUAGCGUUGCUCGGAAUCACUGGGCGUAAAGGGUGCGUAGGCGGGUUUUUAAGUCAGAGGUGAAAUCCUGGAGCUCAACUCCAGAACUGCCUUUGAUACUGAAAGUCUUGAGUAUGGGAGAGGUGAGUGGAACUGCGAGUGUAGAGGUGAAAUUCGUAGAUAUUCGCAAGAACACCAGUGGCGAAGGCGGCUCACUGGACCAUAACUGACGCUGAGGCGCGAAAGCUAGGGGAGCAAACAGG
rnacentral:rRNA from 1 species